ensembl:lncRNA
AAAGAUCACUUUGAUGAUAAUACUCAUAAAAAUUAUACAAUGGAGCCACUCUUGAAAUGUCCUUUAUUUUUCUACAGACUAGAUUACAUGACAUCCUAAUGUGUUCUGCAAAGAAACUUCAACCCUGUAUCAAAGGUGUCUAUAAUGCAAGUUUCACUAUAAGAAAUAUAUGACAACCUUGAUCUCUUUAAGAUUUGGCUUUCCCCUGUAACUUUUGCUUGUGAAUUAGAAAUCAAGUAAAUAGAAAGCCUGACAGGUUUCUCCGGGAAAGUGACCAUCCAUGGAAUGAAUGAAAUGUUCCCUUUCUAUUCCUCGUGGGUCCAAGCCUGUAGCCCCAAAUCGGAUAAUCUCUGCAGCUGAUAACAAGCAAAAGAGAAGCCAGGCAACAGCCAUAUUAAAGAAGAAAACAAUCAACUCUGAGGAUACAGACAGGCAUGCAGAAGUAACUAGACGUCCAACACAUGCCAAAGUCUUGCGGGCCCAGGAUUUCAAACAAAAGAAAACUCGGACAGGAGUGCUCUGCCCACCUGGACUGAGGGAACAGCCCUGGCAAAGUCUCAAGACAGGUCAAGAAACUGGGGAAGGCAAUCAGCUCUUGCAUCGUCCACAUUGUUUCUGGAGCACAGCCUGGCUGAUCCUGGGGCUAGAGCUCAGAACCAGAUCCAGCUUAGAAAUAAUGUUUCACUCAAGAUAAGGCUUGUGGUUUAGGAGAUUCUGGUCUGGCCUGCCUCACUUUAAGACUUCUAUCAUCUCUUUUCAAAACCUGAGGAGGACCUCAUUUCCUGUUUGAUAGUUCUUCAUGCUUUGCCAGCCUCCGGGUCUUUAACGAAGCUUGCCAAGAAUUCCCGGCUGGGAAGGACAGCCUGAGUUCAUCAUAGAGAAUGAGCUGGCACCACAGUUGUAGUGACUCACCAACCUCAUUGCAACUUUGCAAUGGCAAGAACCACACUAUCUAAUUGAAAGACCUGUGUUUUAACAAAGUGCAAUUGGAUCACAUGGCAAAAUCCUCUCAAAAUAUGUCUCCAAUCUUUCCUUUCACUGGAUGUUUUGAACCCAAAGGAAAUUAUAUUCUGAAUUAUAUGUUUUUUUGUUUUUAAUUGAGAUUAAUUAACAGAUACUUGGUUUUAUGUCCAUUCCGUUCUAGGAAUUUAGUGGUGAUUACAAAGCAGUGAAAAUAGGUCACAGCAAAAUGAACAUUCCAGAUUAGGUUAAAGCAUUCCUCUGAAAUUUCAGUAUUCAUUUUUGGAGUGUCAGUUACUACAUUUCUGUAAUUCAUCAUUUUUUUCUUUCUUGGCUUACAGUCAAGAUGAGAAAUGAUAUCGAGACCAAAGACAUUGUUUUGUUACAUAGCCAGUGCUUUUUAAAAUGCAAAACCACCCUCCCCUCACCAAUGCUUAAUCGUUUGUGUGUGCUUAUGUUCACACACACACACACACACACACACACACACAUGCUGGAGAAAAACCUUUCAAGACUUCCAGGACCUGGGUCGUGUAAGAGGCAGAUGAGAAAAUUAAAGGAGGACCAGAAGGAGGCCAGAACAGUAGCAACACUAAGAGUCCAUGAUUUCACUUUACAAAAAGUCCUUAUAUACCACACAGGCAUUUUAAAAAGCAAGUAUUAUUAUAAUUAAAUAAUAUACUUCUAAAGUAUUAUGAUUCUCAUCUAAUUUCAAGAUGUAUAUAGGAGCCGUUUAAAAGUAUUUUGUAUUAUAAUCUGUCACCAAAAAUCAACUAGCAGAGUUUUAUAAUGUGUGUAGGUUUACCCAAUGGGAAUUAAAUUUUAAUUUAUAAGUCUUUCUAUCACUGUAGAAAUUUAGGACAAGGUAGCAUUUGGUAUUAACAUAGAAGAAUAUUCUAUAGCUUUUGUUUUUUUUUUUAGUUUCAAAUUGAUCUAAAAGAAAGUACACUUUGAAUUUUUCCUCCUAGUGUUCUUGUGUUAUAUUAGAGUAUUUUCAUGACAUUGUUUUUAAUGUAAACAUUAUUUUAUUAAGUCAUUAGUUAAAAAAAAUUUUUAAAUAUAGAAUAAUGGUCAUUUGCUUUUCUCUUAAUUUUACUAUUUCAAGUCAAGCAAAAAUGGACAUUUUUCUGUCAGAAAAAAAAAUUGAGUGUGUUUUUGACACAGAAAUGAAUAUUUAGUUACAGUGUUUUUCCCCAACUAAAUUAGCAUUUAUGGUGGAUCUUAUUUAAAAGCUGAUUAGUCUCAAAGAAAAGCAGAGAGAUAAUAGAAUUUCCAAGUAAAUUAUGUUGUUUAAAAAGUAUUUUAAUACAUUAUUCAAAUUGUUUUCAGUUAUUGGUUUAAAAAAAAAACAGUAUCUGUUACAAAUGUGAAAUUUGGUUUUGAAAGACCUUACAAGUUCCAAUUUCUUUAGGACAACAGUGGAAAUUAAAGUCAUAGACAAUUUAGAACUUCAGUUUUUUCCCUUUGGAAAAAAAAAAAAAAAAAAAACUUGUGAUAGGCAUCUCUGCAAGGUAGGUUUUAACAUAUUUUUUUCCUAAUUUUUUUUUCCUUCUUUCAGUAAGAAGGAUAAGCUUUUAGAGUACCCAGUCACCGUGGUAACUGCCAAAAAAAUUCUCCUGAAGUUUGAAGAGGUCAGCUAGCAGGGUCAACAACUCUAGCCUCUCUCUGAGCUCGGUCUAGCAUGCCCCAGCCUGCGGUUGGAGUGUCAGGCCAGAUCUGACCCUGGGAGGUGGACUAUUCCGGCUCUGAUAUAAAUUUUUUGAGUCAGUUCAUGGCCUGGACUCUCCAGGUGGCCUCCAAAAUCGAUUUUGACCCCCUGACCCUGUCUCACGGAGGCAUAGCAUCCACCCUAAGUAAGGAUUUAGCCAGGAAUGACAGCUUUCCACUGAGUGUUAUUGGGGACAGUAUAAACAGUUUGGAAAGCAAGUAAGGAGGUGUGAGUGCUAGAAAUCAUUAAAAACACAUUAAAAAAACAAUUAAAAUUUUUUCUUAGCUUAAAAAGUUUAAAAUGUUUAUUGGUUGUGUAAUUCUUACAUGAUUUUUAAGAUUUUUUAAUCAAAAAAAUUUGAAUAUAAAUAAUGAACCACACAUCUUCAUCCUUUUAUGAACUUUGUUACAAAUAUACAAAUAAGAUAGCCUCACUUACAACAAAAUAAGUAGUAGGGAUGUAAAACUAGGGAAAGAAAAGCUAGUUAUUAAAAUACAUAAUAGAUAAAGAGUUUCAGGUAUUUUCUCUUACUUUCUCAAGUAUUUUAAAUAUUACACUUCAUGAGCUUGUGUCUUGAAAUGUUUAAAAUGUGAAAAUAUGGAACCUUAAAAAGAAACAGUCACCAUCUGAAGAAGAUAAGCUUGUUUUUCACUUCAAGUGCCUUGGUACUUUGUAAAACAACUACCUGAUAUACUCAUUUGGAUACAAAUGAGGUAAAAAUUAUAAAUAGGGAAAGUUAGAUCUUUAGAGUCAAAGAGGAAAAAAGAACAAAUUUAUAAAUGUAUAGUGUCUUAGAAUUAAUUUUAUGUAUUUUCAAUAGUUUAAGAUAUCAGAAGCUUGGGAAAUAAAUAUAAAAUGUGUAAAUCAUCAAUGAUUUUUUUUCCUUCUUUUUCUUCUCCUCCUUCAUUUUUUUAUUUUUUCUCCCAGAUGCCACCCUGAAUAUUUUAUUUUCUCCAAGAAAGUAGAGUACUCUUUGAGAGUUCUAGCCUGUGAACUCAUUAUGUAAAUGUGGUCAUCAAGCAAGACAAAACUGCCAAGAGAGAAGAUUUUAUCCUAGGAACAUUCCUCCUUCCAGUGGUACUUUGCUCAAAGUUUCCCCCAUUUUCCAGUGAUGUUGAAAUGGCUCCAGAGCAACUCUACGGUAGCUAAACUGAGAUGCCAUUUCAUCUGAAUCCUUUGUAAAAAUAAGAUUUUAAGUAGGGGUGAAUGUCCUUUCCGGAGAAUAAACCAGGAAGAGUGGAAGCAGAGGGGGAGGGGACUGAGCAGUUUAUACACAUAUAUACUCUUUGUGUUUGAAGGCCUCUGUGUCUUGGCUUCUCACUAUGUUAAAUCCCUAUUAUAAAACUUAUCUUCACAAAGCCUAUUAUAGUAUUCUGAGAACAAAUUGGACCAUGAAUAACUUAGUUGGAAGUGUAGAUUAUUUUCUACUUAGGGAAAGUUAGAGAUGACAACAGCUUAACUAAAAGAAUAGUGAUUAAUCUUAAAUAGAUGGAUUUCAAAGUUUCACUCUUGAUAAAGAGUACCUUUGAUAGUUCCCCUCUUCAGACUCAUGUUUCCACUUCCUUUGUAUUCAGAGUUGUCCUAGUGAUUACACUGUCCACCUAAUAUAGCAUGGCUCAAACUGUGGAUCCUUUUCUUACAGUUUGUUAAUCUGUCUGAGAGGUGGCCAGAAAGACAUUCUACUUCCUAUUGGUAAAUGUAUGAUUUCACAGUGGUACCCAUGCCUAGAUAUCAAACUCACUGUUAGGAAAGAUAUGUUGCAUAAAUAAUAAUUUCUCAACUAGAUAAAAUUAUUACUUAAAAACAUCUUAAAUUUGUUUUAAUGCCCUGUAACUUACAAAGCACUUCUUAGUUCAUAAUUUUGUUUGAUCCUUAGAAUAAUGUCAUGAAAUAAUAUCAUUAAUCCCAUUUUACCAAGGAGGCAGCUGAGUCAUUGGCACACUGAUCCAGCUGAUAAAUGGGACACCUCGGAUACCAACUCAGAUUUUAUAGCUUCUGCUUCAAGUGAUUAACCCAUAGCAAUAGGCUUUUUAAUUGUUUUUAUGUUCUAUAUCCCCAAAAACCAAGAUUUUGUAUUAAGGAGCAAAGUUUUUAUAUUUCACAAAAAAGUUAUGACACAGUUUAAAAACUUUUUUUCAUUUAGAAAUGAAUUUUACUAAUUAUUAUUUUCUUUUGUGUGUAUCUAUCUAUGUAUCAAUGGUCUUUCAGAGUUAAUCUCUAGAAGUCAAACAUGGGCAGCCCUACAUAAGUUAAAUAACUACCUGGAAUUUUUUAAAUGAACAUGAAAACCAUCGAUAAUACUAUAGGUGAGGUUUCUUGUCUAGUGUUUUUUGGUUUUGUUUUUUUAGCUCUGUUGAGAUAUAAAUGACAAAUAAAAUUGUUAGAUAUUUAAAAUGCACAUCAUGAUGAUUUGAUACAGGCAUACACUGUGAGGGGAUUCCUCCAGUCAAUUAAUACAUCCAUCACCUAUGCAUUUAUUUAUAUAUAUUUUGAGGAAAAUAUUUAAGUUCUACUGUCUCUCUUUUGGCUGUGCCAAGUGGCAUGCAGGACCCCAGUUCCCUGAACCAGGAUCGAACCCAUGCCCCCCACAGUGGAAGCUUGGAGUCCCAACCACUGGACCUCCAGGGAAAUUCCAUUGAGUUCUACUCUAUUAACAAAUUUCAGUUAUUCAAUACAGUCUUAUAAACUAUAGUCACCAUGUUACACAUUAAAUUUUCAGACCUUUAUUCAUUUUAUAGCUGAAAGUUUGUACCCUUUUAUUAACCUCUAAUUCCCUCACUCUCCAGCUCUGCUUUCCAGUGUUUAUAAACUGGUACUUUUAACAUCUUAUCAAGUUUGGAUAAACAAAGUUGUGAAGGGCUACUUCCUGUUUCUCUUGGAUGUUUUACUCUAUGUGUAUAAAAAAAAGUUUGCAAACUACUUUAUGAAUGAUAAAUAAAAGGUUUAGUUCACCUGAUGUUGAUGUAACCUAUCUAAACACAGAAAUCAAAAAAUAUGAAAGGAUUACAACAUGUGAUUCUAAUUAGGCUUUUGAUUAUAUUGUUUUAACUAUGUAAUAUAGAUGUGUGAAUGUUAUUGAUAAUAUGAAAAAAUCCUUUUUUUAUUUCUUAAAAUUUAUAUACUCAAAUUAGUCACUUUAUAUAUACUUAAAUCAAGGUUUUGCUCCUGAAUUUUGCUAGCAGCUAGACAAAUCCAGUCAAAAUCUUUAGGAUUAGGAAAAAAUGAAAAGGUGUCUGGAAAAAGGAAAACAAGUGUUCUGGUUGAAUGUAUAUUAAUAAUGACAUACAUAUAUUAUAAGCUUUCUUGGGCCAAGGUUUUUCAAUUAAAAUAUGACAUUAGACUGAGAAUUGUUUAGAUGUUAAAGCCCCCAAGUUCAAACUUCUUAUGUCUUCUCUAGAAUUUGCAAAUUAAGAAAUGUAAAAAUAAAGACUCUCAUAUUCACAUUG